UACGGAGGGUCCAAGCGUUAUCCGGAAUCACUGGGCGUAAAGGGUGCGUAGGCGGGUUUUUAAGUCAGGGGUGAAAUCCUGGAGCUCAACUCCAGAACUGCCUUUGAUACUGAAGAUCUUGAGUCCGGGAGAGGUGAGUGGAACUGCGAGUGUAGAGGUGAAAUUCGUAGAUAUUCGCAAGAACACCAGUGGCGAAGGCGGCUCACUGGCCCGAUACUGACGCUGAGGUGCGAAAGCGUGGGGAGCAAACAGG
rnacentral:rRNA from 1 species